GGCUGGUCCAAGAGGAGUGAGUUAUCUCACUUGACUGUUCACAGUAAGUUACAGAUUGAACUUCUUGUUCUAACUAUUUUCCCCCCUCCUCACUACUGCACUUGACUAGUCUUCA
rnacentral:Y_RNA from 1 species